GACGAACGCUGGCGGCGUGCUUAACACAUGCAAGUCGAACGGAAAGGCCCUGCUUUUGUGGGGUGCUCGAGUGGCGAACGGGUGAGUAACACGUGAGUAACCUGCCCUUGACUUUGGGAUAACUUCAGGAAACUGGGGCUAAUACCGGAUAGGAGCUCCUGCUGCAUGGGGGGGGUUGGAAAGUUUCGGCGGUUGGGGAUGGACGCGCGGCUUAUCAGCUUGUUGGUGGGGUAGUGGCUUACCAAGGCUUUGACGGGUAGCCGGCCUGAGAGGGUGACAGGCCACAUUGGGACUGAGAUACGGCACAGACUCGUACGGGAGGAAGCAGUGGGGAAUAUUGCACAAUGGGCGGAAGCCUGAUGCAGAAACGCCGCGUGCGGGAUGACGGCCUUCGGGUUGUAAACCGCUUUCGCCUGUGACGAAGCGUGAGUGACGGUAAUGGGUAAAGAAGCACCGGCUAACUACGUG
rnacentral:rRNA from 1 species